UUUGGUGAUGAUGGCAGAGGGGAACCACGCGUUCCCAUCUCGAACACGACCGUUAAGCCCUCUAGCGCCAAUGGUACUUGAACCGCAGGGUUCUGGGAGAGUAGGACAUUGCCAAGC
rnacentral:rRNA from 1 species